rnacentral:rRNA from 1 species
CUCAGGAUGAACACUAGCUACAGGCUUAACACAUGCAAGUCGAGGGGCAGCGGGUUGAAAGCUUGCUUUCAAUGCCGGCGACCGGCGCACGGGUGCGUAACGCGUAUCAAACCUGCCUCAUACUCGGGGAUAGCCUUGCGAAAGUAAGAUUAAUACCCGAUGUUGUUGCUUUCUCGCAUGGGAGAGUAACCAAAGAUUCAUCGGUAUGAGAUGGUGAUGCGUCCGAUUAGGUAGUAGGCGGGGUAACGGCCCACCUAGCCUUCGAUCGGUAGGGGUUCUGAGAGGAAGGUCCCCCACACUGGAACUGAGACACGGUCCAGACUCCUACGGGAGGCAGCAGUGAGGAAUAUUGGUCAAUGGGCGAGAGCCUGAACCAGCCAAGUAGCGUGCAGGAUGACGGCCCUCCGGGUUGUAAACUGCUUUUAGUUGGGAAUGAAAAAAGGGACUUGUCCCUUCUUGUAUGUACCUUCAGAAAAAGGACCGGCUAAUUCCGUGCCAGCAGCCGCGGUAAUACGGAAGGCCCAGGCGUUAUCCGGAUUUAUUGGGUUUAAAGGGAGCGUAGGCGGAUUGUUAAGUCAGCGGUUAAAGGGUGUGGCUCAACCAUGCAUUGCCGUUGAAACUGGCGAUCUUGAGUGCAGACAGGGAUGCCGGAAUUCGUGGUGUAGCGGUGAAAUGCUUAGAUAUCACGAAGAACUCCGAUCGCGAAGGCAGGUGUCCGGGCUGCAACUGACGCUGAGGCUCGAAAGUGUGGGUAUCAAACAGGAUUAGAUACCCUGGUAGUCCACACAGUAAACGAUGUAUACUCGCGGUUUGCGAUAGACAGUAAGCCGCCAAGCGAAAGCAUUAAGUAUACCACCUGGGGAGUACGCCGGCACGGU